UUGUUGAUGAAUUGGUCAGUGGUUUAGGUUAGCUUAAAAACCAUCUGAUCUCCUAAUCAAACUUAAAAAAAAAAUUAAAAAGAAAGCCAAAGACAUUCAAUUUCCACAAAGAGAGCUUGCAGAAAAAUAGGAAGUUCCUGCUCUUCAAGAGAGAUCUGCUGCUACUGAUGUUUGAGACAUCCCUACUGGGUUUUGAUGGAAGGGCAAAGAAGCUCAGAAUGACAAAACAGAGAAAAGGUGGCUGCUGGAAGAGCAUGAAGAGAGAUACUGGCAGAGGAGAGCAUGAAACUGUUCAAUUUUAAGGAUCAACGUAGGCAGAACAGACUGGAUGCAGCUGAAAAAUUUGGAUUAUGACUCAUAUCUACAAAUCUUGUCUGGCAUCUUGCAGAGGACAUGAUGCUGAGACUUGGGAGGGAAAGUCUUGUAAUGAAAGAACAACUGUCAUAGAAAAUUUGACCCUCAGUACAAGGCAAACAAACUUUCACUUGCAUUGGAAGGAGGAGAUGUGCCUGUUGGUUCCCAUCAGUGUCAUCUUUCCCAUGGAGACAUUUACCAGUGGAAUUGCAGGAGCUCACUUGCAUUUCCUGCCUGGAGCAAGCAAUGCCAGCAAGUUGCUAACUAGGGAAGGACCUAGGAAGUGGCACUUCAUGCUGACUGCACACAAUCCAGUUUUCUGCCAUCUGAUCUAACAGAGAGAAGGCUGACUGGGGAGGAAGAGAGGUGUGUGAGCAGUAUAUGGGAAAAUGUUCUGUGGAAAACCUGGGAUGUUGGAUAAAUGGUUGUGUUUAUACUCGGUCUUCCCUCUCUCACCUCUGUUUUGGGCUUGGCUUUGUUUUGGGUUUGGUGGUUUCUUUUCUUUCCUUCUGCAGCCUGUGAGUGUAAUCCAGAAGCCCUGAGGAUUUCUGUCAGGAGCACAGGGCUUUUUCCAGAAGACCACAGCAGGGUCUGUGCAUGUAUUUUUCAUACCAUUUAAUAGUUAUGACAUCCCUUGUAGUCUUAUUUUAAACCUCUUUUCAGUUGGGCCAUACAAUAUUUGACCUCAUUUCUGUGGAAUAGAUACAUCACUGAAAAACAGGAGCUAGAAGGAUCCUGCAUGGAAGAGUAGAUGGUUACAAGUGAAGAAAAAAAUUUUUUUUUUAAGAAGACUAAGAAAGACAAUUCAGGAAGAGUUGGACUGAACUUUUAAGGUUCUCAAGCAAAAAUACCCUGUAAAUUCUUUGAAUUUUUUAAUGAAGAAAGUCUUUUGACACUAAAGACUGGAAGUCAGUUUCUAGCAGCUUUUUCUGCACUGCCUAAGUGUAUGUGGCAUGAAUAAAACCCACAGUGUGAGGUGCUAUAUAAACA
rnacentral:lncRNA from 1 species